UUUUUUCCUGAAGAAUGGAGCAGCAAAGAAGCGUAUCGGGGUAGUCGCAGAGCCCUAGAUCUCCAUCGUCUCAGCCAUAUCUGUCAGUUUCCGUGACGGAUCCCGUUAAAUUAGGGAAUGGCGUCCAAGCUUACAUAUCCUAUCGUGUCAUCACCAAGAGUGAAAUUUUACUAUUUGCUCCAACAGAGUGAAGAUCUUAGAACCUUUUUGCAGGCGGAUGAAGAGACAAUGGAGAGGCUGAGAUCUUAUGAGACUGGUAUUUUUAAAAAGAAGCCUGCUGAUUUGAUGGAGAUCUUCAAGGUAAAUAAGUUUUUCGCGACCUUAUGAUGAGUUAGUGAGACUGUAUAGUAGACAGUGCUAAUAAAAUUUCUACUGAUUAGCGAGAUGUCAAUUUUUAUCCAAACAAUUUUUUUUCUCUAGUAUAUGAUUUGGUUCUUAAAUUAUUAUAAACAAAAAUUCUUGCCACAAAAAAAAAAAACCUGGUAACAUGAUGUUAUGGACUGAAUCUGUAGUGGAAAGGUCAUAUAUUUUAAUUCUCUAAUGAAAGCUUAGAUUGCGAUUUUAUUUCUUUCCUUAUGUUUCUUGAUUGAACUCUUGUUUCAGUUGAUUUAUUUCCUUUCUAUAAUAGUUUUCCAAUC